UGGAUCUCUUAUGUGAAAAUUAGGGCACUGACUGAAAGAUGAUAGGAAACCAAAUAGUGGAAUGAGGAUAUAUUAAAUAAUUUAAAUAAAUCAGAUAACCAUGAAUUUGUGUGUGUGUGUGUGUGUGUGUGUGUGUGUGUGUACUGGGGAUUAAACUCAGGGGCACUAGACCACUGAGCCAUAUCUCCAA
rnacentral:sRNA from 1 species